rnacentral:rRNA from 1 species
AAUUUGAAAUCUGGCCCCUCCGGGGUCCGAGUUGUAAUUUGUAGAGAGUGCUUCGGGUGAGACCGCGGUCUAAGUCCAUUGGAACAUGGCGUCCCAGAGGGUGAGAAUCCCGUAUGUGACUGCGGCUCGAGCCCAUGUGAAGCCUCUUCGACGAGUCGAGUUGUUUGGGAAUGCAGCUCUAAAUGGGUGGUAAAUUUCAUCUAAAGCUAAAUACUGGCUGGAGACCGAUAGCGCACAAGUAGAGUGAUCGAAAGAUGAAAAGCACUUUGGAAAGAGAGUUAAACAGUACGUGAAAUUGUUGAAAAGGAAGCGCUUGCAACCAGACCUGUCCGUAGGCGAUCACCCGCUGUUCUCAGCGGUGCACUCGUUCUGCGAUCAGGCCAGCAUCGGUUCGGGCGGCCGGAUAAAGGCCUUGGGAAUGUAGCUCUCCUCCGGGGGAGUCUUAUAGCCCUCGGUGCAAUGCGGCCAGCCGGGACCGAGGACCGCGCUUCGGCUAGGAUGCUGGCGUAAUGGUUGUAAGCGACCC